rnacentral:lncRNA from 13 species
CUUCCGGCGGCGGCGGGCAGCGCGUGUGGGAGCGAGCGGGCGGCGACUGUUUACUUCCGGCCGCCGGGGCUGAGGCCGAGCGCGUCGGGCGGCGGGCGCGGCGGCCCCGCGCAGCCAUGGACUGGCUCAUGGGAAACACAGUCUCACUCUGUUGUCCAGGAUGGUCUCAGACUCUGCCUUCACCUUCCAAAGUUGUGGGAUUACACUGAGCCACCGUGCCCACCCCUCCUUGAGUGCUUUUCUUAUAGCACACCCUCAACUUCCAAGGCCUGAUGUUGAUUUAUAGCUUUAUCCACCUCUCCGAAGUACUCAAGAUACGAGACCGCUUCGGUGCACUUUCUCUCGAGUUGUAAGCAUCGAUGUGUUUUAAUUUCUGUGCACUUUAGACCCCCCACAUGUUAUUGUCUUGUACAUUGGUAUUGAUUUAGGUUGACUGGUUUUAGGCUGUGCCCUCUCCUUCCUCCUAGACCCCCCACGUUACUGUCCUGCAUGUUGGUAUUGGUUUGGGUAGACGGGUUUUAGGCUGUGCCCUCUCCUUCCUCCUAGACCCCCCACGUUACUGUCCUGCAUGUUGGUAUUGGUUUGGGUAGACGGGUUUUAGGCUGUGCCCUCUCCUUCCUCCUAGACCCCCCACGUUACUGUCCUGCAUGUUGGUAUUGGUUUGGGUAGACGGGUUUUAGGCUGUGCCCUCUCCUUCCUCCUAGACCCCCCACGUUACUGUCCUGCAUGUUGGUAUUGGUUUGGGUAGACGGGUUUUAGGCUGUGCCCUCUCCUUCCUCCUAGACCCCCCACGUUACUGUCCUGCAUGUUGGUAUUGGUUUGGGUAGACGGGUUUUAGGCUGUGCCCUCUCCUUCCUCCUUUGUCUUUCUGGUUUUGUCCUUCCUUCUGUGACCACUUUUCCUCUGCCUGUGGCACAGCCUUGCGCUUUCUUGGAUUUCCUUUCAGGUGACUCUGCUGGGGGUGU